GCUUCUCUGAUGUUAGCGGCGGACGGGUGAGUAACACGUGGAUAACCUACCUAUAAGACUGGGAUAACUUCGGGAAACCGGAGCUAAUACCGGAUAAUAUUUUGAACCGCAUGGUUCAAAAGUGAAAGACGGUCUUGCUGUCACUUAUAAAUGGAUCCGCGCUGCAUUAGCUAGUUGGUAAGGUAACGGCUUACCAAGGCAACGAUGCAUAGCCGACCUGAGAGGGUGAUCGGCCACACUGGAACUGAGACACGGUCCAGACUCCUACGGGAGGCAGCAGUAGGGAAUCUUCCGCAAUGGGCGAAAGCCCGACGGAGCAACGCCGCGUGAGUGAUGAAGGUCUUCGGAUCGUAAAACUCUGUUAUUAGGGAAGAACAUAUGUGUAAGUAACUGUGCACAUCUUGACGGUACCUAAUCAGAAAGCCACGGCUAACUACGUGCCAGCAGCCGCGGUAAUACGUAGGUGGCAAGCGUUAUCCGGAAUUAUUGGGCGUAAAGCGCGCGUAGGCGGUUUUUUAAGUCUGAUGUGAAAGCCCACGGCUCAACCGUGGAGGGUCAUUGGAAACUGGAAAACUUGAGUGCAGAAGAGGAAAGUGGAAUUCCAUGUGUAGCGGUGAAAUGCGCAGAGAUAUGGAGGAACACCAGUGGCGAAGGCGACUUUCUGGUCUGUAACUGACGCUGAUGUGCGAAAGCGUGGGGAUCAAACAGGAUUAGAUACCCUGGUAGUCCACGCCGUAAACGAUGAGUGCUAAGUGUUAGGGGGUUUCCGCCCCUUAGUGCUGCAGCUAACGCAUAAGCACUCCGC
rnacentral:rRNA from 1 species